UACAUACUCCCUCCGUUCCAUAAUUCUUGUCUCAAAUUUGCCCAAAAGUGGAUGUAUCUAUUACUAAAAAGUGUCUAGAUACAUGUAAUAUUUCGACAAGAAUUAUGGAACGGAGGUAGUAGUAC
rfam:Brachypodium distachyon strain Bd21 chromosome 3, whole genome shotgun sequence.